CUCCGCCGGCGCCUGGAGCCGGACGCGUUACGCGCUGCUCUCGGUCCCAUCAUCCCGCCUAGAAACCCUUGGGACGAACAGCUGUCCCCCUGCGGAAGGGCUUUACACCCGCAGCCUCCCGCCCCCGGAGCAGGUGGUGGUGGCUCCCUAGGCGUGGCUGGUGACCAGUGUGAUCAUGGCUUACAGCCCCUCUGAAGGGGCCCUACUGUCUCCAUCAGUCCUUACUCACCUGAAUGACCCUGAUCUGCUGAGCAGAUCCUUCCCCUGGGGCAGCAGGAGCAGGAGGAGUCGUCUCUCAGGGCUCUGUCGGCUUGGAGCAUCACUGCCUGGGGAGAAGUGCACCUCUUACUGUUUGUCUUCUCUGACAGCUCGUAACAUUUGUACCAGCAGAACUGGUAACCCGUGGGCUCGGUGGGAUUCUGCCUCUCUCUCUGCUUCCCCUGGAAGCUCUUGCUCCUUUUUGCACGGCCCAGCUGGGGAGGAAUCCAGCCAGCACCUCCCAGCUGCUGCACGCAACCCAAACCGAGCCGUCUUCACCGUGGAUGCCAGCACAACAGAGAUCCUAGUGGCCAAUGACCAAGCUUGCAAGUUGCUUGGGUGCAGUAGCCAGGAACUCAUUGGUCAAAAGCUGUCCCACUUGAUAUCCAAAUCUGGCCAAGAGGCUUGGGAAGCAGUGGGUGAGGAGUACCUGGAAACUUCUGAAUGUUCAUCAGUGGUUUCUGGAGCUGUGGUGGAUGUUCUUGGCCACCUCAAUGAGAAGAUCCCUGUCUCAGUCUGGCUGAGGCAAAUAAGAAGCAAGGACAGCCAGCGUUGUGUGGUUGUGCUGGAACCAGUGGAGAGACUUUCAGCUCGUGUCUCCUUCACAGCUGAGGGAAAAAUUACAUCCUGUGAUCUCCUUUAUGCUCAUCUCCAUGGCUACCCAACAUUGGAAACAGUAGUUGGACUCCACAUAAAGGACCUGAUUCCUUCUGUGCAGAUCCCUCCUCUAGGCAAAAAAAUCCCAAAGACCCUCAGGAUCCAGCGAGCUGCAGGCCGAUGCAGAGAGGGCACCAUGUUUCCUCUCAGUUUAAAGCUGGAAGUCAGCCACGUGGAGCAGGAGCAAGCAGUGCAGGAAGAUGAGAUUCCACAGGCAGAAGGCUCUCUCCCAAGCUAUCAGUACUCUGCUACAGUUGUGGUUUUCUCCACCAUCAGUGGCCUGAUCACUGUCCAGUCAGAUGGAAUCAUCUGUGGCAUCACGGAUAGUUUUGCUUUAAUGCUCUUUGGCUAUGAGAAGAAAGAGCUGUUGGGAAAGAACAUUACAUUCCUGAUCCCUGGUUUCUAUAACAACAUGAAAAGAUGCAGUGGCUGCUCUUUGCCUUUACCUCCUCUGGAUGAUCCCACAGGGACAGAAGAGAGCAGCUUCUUGGCUGCAUCUUUAGCACACCUUCUGUCAAGAGAUGAAGAGCAGAAAUUGGAGCAACAACACAAAGAUGACAAAUUAAUACAUGAUGAGAAUAAACAAAAGAAUUGGACCAGUUUCUUUCCUCCUCCCUCACCUCCUGAAGCAGCAUCCACCCCCAAUAACAGACUGGAGGACAAGCUAAAGGCAGCAGCCUGUGACCCAGUGAAGCUGCCUUCUGAAGGCACCUGGAACUCACCUGGAACACCAACAGUGGAUGAGCCAUGGCCUGGGACAGCUCUGAACUGCAGACAAGACUUGAAAAGCCACAUGGUUCCAGGGCAGGUGUCAAAAACAAACUCCAUGUGUGAUGCAAAACAUUCCAGCCUGGAGCAUAUUGCUGUUGACAGCUGCCUGCUAAAUGAUCCUUCUACCUUCUUUGCAUGUGAAAGAAAAACUGGCUGUGAUGUUUGCUCAGGAAAUAAACCAGGCUGCAGUGCUUCUGCACCAGGAGCUGCCACAACCUCUGAAAAUGUGAAAGAAUCUGAACUGAACUGUAUUUGCUCUGCUCUUGAGGUACUGGGGCUGAAUGCUGGUGUCAAGGGGAACUCACACAGUUCUUUAGGUGUUACUGCAGCUCUUGUAGGAGGAUGCUGCUCUGAUGCAGAAGACUCCAAUGUGCUAAUUGGGACCAACUGUGCCUUUCCCACUCAUCAGGGAAAGCAGCUGCUGAGUGGUGCUGCCACAGAAGCUGAUUCUGGAUGGCUGGCCUCCAGAAGGCAUUUACAAAACCCUGAGGAAUGCUCCAAAGCAUUUCCUGAGAAACCUGAAACCCUUGCAGAAACUGUGGGGGACAGCUCCAACAGAAAUCCCCUGCAAAGCAAAGGAAGGCCUGAAGAACACUGUCACUUCCUCAGGCAGCAAAAUAUGGAGAUCAAAGUAACAUCCACCCCAGUGAAACAAGGAGGCAGGCUGAAUCCAGCAGCUCCUUUGGCCUGGGAGAUUCUGGAAGGCAGCUACACUGGGAAUUGCUGUCACAGAGAUGGUUCACAAUUCAGCAUACUCUUCGAGGUGAAAUGUGCAGAGCUGCAGGAUCCCCCUGUGCUUUUCUGUGUCUGGGUGCUGAAAGACAUUUCACAGAGCCAAAAAGAAGCUGUAGCAAAGACUCAGCAUUUGCUUGCCAGCCUGGCAAACUCUUCCCAGUCUGUUGCUGAUCUUUCUACUAAAAGUCUUGGAGAAGCCAUCAGAUCAGCUUCACUUUUCAACAAUUCCCAAAGAGCUGAAGAUCUUGAAGGAUUAAGAGCAUGUGAAGGAGAAUAUGCAAAAAAUUACAGCACUCUCAAUCUUAUUGGCAAAGGCUCUUUUGGCUUUGUCUGGAGUGCCAGGAGCAAGAAAGAUCAGCAGGAGGUUAUUGUGAAGUUCAUCUGGAAGGAGAGGGUGCUGGAGGACUGCUGGGUGGAUGAUCCUGACCUGGGGAGGGUCACUCAGGAAAUUGCAAUCCUUCAGAAGCUGCAGCACCCCAGCAUCAUUAAGGUGCUGGAUGUAUUUGAAAAUGAUUGCUUCUUCCAGCUGGUGAUGGAGAAGCAUGGAUCUGGUCUGGACCUCUUUACAUUUAUUGAUAAUCAGCCCAACUUGGAUGAACCAUUAGCAAGUUAUAUAUUCAGACAGCUUGUAUCAGCUGUUGGGUACCUCCACUGCAGGAACAUCCUUCACAGAGAUAUCAAGGAUGAAAAUAUUGUCAUUGCUGAAGAUUUCACAAUUAAAUUAGUGGAUUUUGGUUCGGCUGCCUACCUGGAACCUGGGAAAUUAUUUUAUACCUUCUGUGGGACAAUUGAAUACUGCUCACCAGAAGUGCUGUCUGGCAAACCGUAUGUCACUCUCUGAAAAGUCAUUUUUGUGCCAUCACACCAAAAAUAACCCUUGUGGGCAGGGCUGGAACACAAGCCAAGCUGCUGUGCCAUUGGAGUGCUGCUAGAGCAUCCAACCACAGGAAAUGCAGCCAGAUUUAAGGCACUGCAGUGCCAGAAAUCACUGUGAAGGUCUGAGUGCAUACAAAGUAGGGCACUCUAGUAACAGAAAUCAAAUUGUAAAAGCUUGAAUAUAUUCAAAGGUGUUUCUAAAACUGUUGUCAGGAUCUCUCUAGCAAAAGCCGCUUUUUCAGAGGUGGAGUAAGCAGGUAUUGCUGUUGAUUGCACCUUCUCCUUGCAUGUCUGUGCUUUGUAUCCUCCCACUCUCAUCCUCUCUGUUCUCUUUUCUACGUGCUCCCCUCUAUUUGAAUUUUUGCAGUUUGAUCCCUGUUCAUCUCCCCACUGAUUUUCGUGCUCUUUGGGACUCCAGGAUUCUUCCCUUGCAGCUUCUCUCGCUGCUGUUUUGGAUAUGCUGCCUAAAUCUUGGCUCUCCUCCCUCUUCUCUCCCUCUCCAAGCGCUCUGUACCUGGCAGCUGGUGCUCCACAAUAAAGCUCCCCACCACAGGGGUGGCACUGCUGUAAAUGCACGAGCCUGGAGGGAUCUUGCUCCUCCUUCACAGCUGUUUCCAUGGGUCCUCCUCCUAAAGCAGUGUUGGGAGAAGCAAUGCAAGGAGGAGAGGAAAUUCCUGCUGGGAAUGAGAUGAAAGGUGAAGCAAGCAGCUCUGCCCUGGGAGUUCCACCUCUUAAUGUGAAGGAACUGGCAUGAUUUCUCAGAUGGAAUUGAGACAGUUAACAGUUUUUUCCAAAUAACUUUUGUUUUGAAAGGGCUGGGAGGAUGUGUUUGCUCUUGCAGUUAAAUAUUUACUUGACAGUUUUGGCUGCUGAUGAAGAAGGUGAGGGGUACCAUGGCCCUGAGCUGGAGAUGUGGUCACUUGGCAUCACCCUUUACACCCUGGUGCUUGGGGAGAAUCCCUUCUGUGAGCUGGAGGAGGCCUUGGCAGCUGUCCUGAGUCCUCCUCGCCCCGUGU